GGGCGCUUAGCUCAGCGGUAGAGCGGCUGCCUUACAAGCAGUAGGUCGGGGGUUCGACACCCUCAGCGCCCA
rnacentral:tRNA from 1 species